rnacentral:rRNA from 1 species
GACGAACGCUGGCGGCGUGCCUAAUACAUGCAAGUCGAACGCUUCUUUCCUCCCGAGUGCUUGCACUCAAUUGGAAAGAGGAGUGGCGGACGGGUGAGUAACACGUGGGUAACCUACCCAUCAGAGGGGGAUAACACUUGGAAACAGGUGCUAAUACCGCAUAACAGUUUAUGCCGCAUGGCAUAAGAGUGAAAGGCGCUUUCGUGUGUCGCUGAUGGAUGGACCCGCGGUGCAUUAGCUAGUUGGUGAGGUAACGGCUCACCAAGGCCACGAUGCAUAGCCGACCUGAGAGGGUGAUCGGCCACACUGGGACUGAGACACGGCCCAGACUCCUACGGGAGGCAGCAGUAGGGAAUCUUCGGCAAUGGACGAAAGUCUGACCGAGCAACGCCGCGUGAGUGAAGAAGGUUUUCGGAUCGUAAAACUCUGUUGUUAGAGAAGAACAAGGACGUUAGUAACUGAACGUCCCCUGACGGUAUCUAACCAGAAAGCCACGGCUAACUACGUG